rnacentral:rRNA from 1 species
UACGAAGGGGGCUAGCGUUGCUCGGAAUCACUGGGCGUAAAGGGUGCGUAGGCGGGUCUUUAAGUCAGGGGUGAAAUCCUGGAGCUCAACUCCAGAACUGCCUUUGAUACUGAAGAUCUUGAGUUCGGGAGAGGUGAGUGGAACUGCGAGUGUAGAGGUGAAAUUCGGUAGAUAUUCGCAAGAACACCAGUGGCGAAGGCGGCUCACUGGCCCGAUACUGCGCUGAGGCACGAAAGCGUGGGGAGCGAACGGG